rnacentral:tRNA from 1 species
GUAAAAAUAGCUUAAUAUAAAGCAUAGUCUUGAAAGGGCUGGUAUGAACUUAGUUCUUUUUACA